UACGUAGGGGGCAAGCGUUGUCCGGAAUCAUUGGGCGUAAAGCGCGUGUAGGCGGCCUUGUAAGUCCGUUCUGAAAGCCCGGGGCUCAACCCCGGGAGGCGGAUGGAUACUGCAAGGCUCGAGUACGGAAGAGGCGAGUGGAAUUCCCGGUGUAGCGGUGAAAUGCGCAGAUAUCGGGAGGAACACCAGUGGCGAAGGCGGCACUCUGGGCCGGUACUGACGCUGAGGAGCGAAAGCGUGGGGAGCGAACAGG
rnacentral:rRNA from 1 species